rnacentral:rRNA from 1 species
GUGGGUUAGUCCGCACGAGCGCAACCCUGUCCUAUGUUGCCAGCAAGUAAUGUUGGGGACUCAUGGGAGACUGCCGGUGAUAAACCGGAGGGAGGUGGGGAUGACGUCAAGUCAUCAUGCCCCUUAUGUCCAGGGCUGCACGCAUGCUACAAUGGCAAGUACAACGAGUCGCAAUAUCGCAAGGUGGAGCAAAUCUCUUAAAGCUUGUCUCAGUUCGGAUAGGAGUCUGCAACUCGACUCCUUGAAGUUGGAGUCGCUAGUAAUCGCAAAUCAGCAAAGUUGCGGUGAAUACGUUCUCGGGGUUUGUACACACCGCCCGUCAAGUCACGGAAGUCGGCAAUACCCGAAGCCUGUGGUCCAACCCUUUUGGGAGGAAGCAGUCUAAGGUAGGGUCGGUAACUGGGACUAAGUCGUAACAAGGUAGCCGUACGGGAACGUGCGGCUGGAUCACCUCCUUUCU